GUAGGGAAUCAUCCGCAAUGGGCGAAAGCCUGACGGUGCAACGCCGCGUGAACGAUGAAGGUCUUCGGAUUGUAAAGUUCUGUUGUUAGGGAAGAACAAGUGCCAUUCGAAUAGGUUGGCACCUUGACGGUACCUAACCAGAAAGCCCCGGCUAACUACGUGCCAGCAGCCGCGGUAAUACGUAGGGGGCAAGCGUUGUCCGGAAUUAUUGGGCGUAAAGCGCGCGCAGGCGGUCUCUUAAGUCUGAUGUGAAAGCCCACGGCUCAACCGUGGAGGGUCAUUGGAAACUGGGAGACUUGAGUGUAGGAGAGGAAAGUGGAAUUCCACGUGUAGCGGUGAAAUGCGUAGAGAUGUGGAGGAACACCAGUGGCGAAGGCGACUUUCUGGCCUAUAACUGACGCUGAGGCGCGAAAGCGUGGGGAGCAAACAGGAUUAGAAACCCUAGUAGUCC
rnacentral:rRNA from 1 species